AUUGAACGCUGGCGGCAGGCCUAACACAUGCAAGUCGAACGAGUGGCGGACGGGUGAGUAAUGUCUGGGAAACUGCCCGAUGGAGGGGGAUAACUACUGGAAACGGUAGCUAAUACCGCAUACCAUCGGAUGUGCCCAGAUGGGAUUAGCUAGUAGGUGGGGUAACGGCUCACCUAGGCGACGAUCCGUAGCUGGGCUGAGAGGAUGACCAGCCACACUUGAACUGAGACACGGUCCAGACCCCGACGGCAGGCGGCAGUGGGGAAUAUGGCACAAUGGGCGAAAGCCUGAUGCAGCCAUGCCGGGUGUAUGAAGAAGGCCUUCGGGUUGUAAAGUACUUUCAGCGAGGAGGCGUUACUCGCAGUAGAAGCACCGGCUAACUCCGUGCCAGCAGCCGCGGUAAUAC
rnacentral:rRNA from 1 species